rnacentral:lncRNA from 1 species
CCAUCUCUCACAAUGAAUAGACUCCUGAAUGAACCUGAGAAAUAAUAUGCAUGAAGAGAUUAAUUUUUCUUUUCUUUUUUCUCUUUUUUUCCAUUUCUUUUUUUUAUUGCAUUAUUUUUUUGAAAAUAAACAUGCCAUGAUGCAAAUGAUGCAGACAAGACUGGCUGGCUGUGUAUCUCGGAGCACAGGAUCAAAGCUUCG